rnacentral:tRNA from 1 species
AGGGCAAUAGCUCAGUGGUAGAGCGCCUGCUUAGCAUGCACCAGGCCCUGGGUUCAAUCCCUAGUACCUCCA